rnacentral:lncRNA from 1 species
CGACCGCCCUCGCGACCUACCGACCUAGCUACGGCCGGUCGAAGGAUAUUUGGCUUGCCACCGUCUAUCGCACGAUGCGACCUCCGUCGCGUCCAUGACUCACCAACCGAGCUACGACCGGCCGGGAGAUGUUCGGUUUACCACCGUAUAUCAUGAGGCGCAGUACGGAUACCCGACACAAGGGUAUCGGGAUCCGACUUAUCGGUGCUCCCCCGACUAAAUGCGCCCUACGACAUUCGACUGAACGCGUCGGAAGAGACCCGACUACCGAACCUUUAUCCGGCGGUCGAUCGACUUCCGACUCAACGAACGCGCCCGACUCACGGUCGGGGAAAGGACGCCCGACUUACGACCUCGACCGACGAAGGCCGAUCCAAAGUCGGGACUUGUUCUACCUUCGUACGGCGCGAGUUGCCGAACGUCCUAAACAAUCUAUACGAGUUAGC